GCUACGGGAGUCAGCAGUGAGGAAUAUUGGUCAAUGGACGCAAGUCUGAACCAGCCAUUCCGCGUGCAGGAAGACGGCUCUAUGAGUUGUAAACUGCUUUUGUACGAGGGUAAACGCAGAUACGCGUAUCUGUCUGAAAGUAUCGUACGAAUAAGGAUCGGCUAACUCCGGUCCAGCAGACGCGGUAAUACGGAGGCUUCAAGCUUUAUCCGGAUUUAUUGGGUUUAAAGGGUGCGCCGGCGGAAGAUCAAUUCAGCGGUAAAAUUGAGAGGACCAACCUCUUCGAGCCGUUGAAACUGGUUGUCUUGAGUGAGCGAGAAGUAUGCGGAAUGCGUGGUGUAGCGGUGAAAUGCAUAGAUAUCACGCAGAACUCCGAUUGUGAAGGCAGCAUACCGGCGCUCAACUGACGCUCAUGCACGAAAGUGUGGGUAUCGAACAGGAUUAGAUACCCCUGUAGUC
rnacentral:rRNA from 1 species